rnacentral:tRNA from 1 species
GCCCCGGUAGCUCAGUUGGAUAGAGCAACUGCCUUCUAAGCAGUAGGUCAUGGGUUCGAAUCCCGUCCGGGGUACAA